UACGUAGGGGGCAAGCGUUGUUCGGAAUUACUGGGCGUAAAGGGCGCGUAGGCGGCACGGCAAGUCGGGAGUGAAAGGCCUGGGCUCAACCGAGGAACUGCUUUCGAGACUGCCGAGCUAGAGUGCGGAAGGGGCAACUGGAAUUCCUGGUGUAGCGGUGAAAUGCGCAGAUAUCAGGAAGAACACCCGUGGCGAAAGCGGCUCUCUGGAACGGUACUGACGCUGAGACGCGAAAGCGUGGGGAGCGAACAGG
rnacentral:rRNA from 1 species